GGCGGCUUAACACAUGCAAGUCGAGCGGGGGAAGUUGCUUCGGUAACUGACCUAGCGGCGGACGGGUGAGUAAUGCUUAGGAAUCUGCCUAUUAGUGGGGGACAACAUCUCGAAAGGGAUGCUAAUACCGCAUACGUCCUACGGGAGAAAGCAGGGGACCUUCGGGCCUUGCGCUAAUAGAUGAGCCUAAGUCGGAUUAGCUAGUUGGUGGGGUAAAGGCCUACCAAGGCGACGAUCUGUAGCGGGUCUGAGAGGAUGAUCCGCCACACUGGGACUGAGACACGGCCCAGACUCCUACGGGAGGCAGCAGUGGGGAAUAUUGGACAAUGGGGGGAACCCUGAUCCAGCCAUGCCGCGUGUGUGAAGAAGGCCUUUUGGUUGUAAAGCACUUUAAGCGAGGAGGAGGCUACCGAGAUUAAUACUCUUGGAUAGUGGACGUUACUCGCACAAUAAGCACCGGCUAACUCUGUGCCAGCAGCCGCGGUAAUACAGAGGGUGCAAGCGUUAAUCGGAUUUACUGGGCGUAAA
rnacentral:rRNA from 1 species